AGCCCGCUAUCGGAGUCGAACCGAUGACCAUCGCA
rnacentral:tRNA from 1 species